rnacentral:tRNA from 1 species
GGCCCCGUAGCUCAGCUGGAUAGAGCAUCAGAUUCCUAAUCUGAGGGUCACAGGUUCAAAUCCUGUCGGGGUCA